CGGAAUCUGCCUAUUUGUGGGGGAUAACGUAGGGAAACUUACGCUAAUACCGCAUACGACCUACGGGUGAAAGCGGAGGACCUUCGGGCUUCGCGCAGAUAGAUGAGCCGAUGUCGGAUUAGCUAGUUGGCGGGGUAAAGGCCCACCAAGGCGACGAUCCGUAGCUGGUCUGAGAGGAUGAUCAGCCACACUGGAACUGAGACACGGUCCAGACUCCUACGGGAGGCAGCAGUGGGGAAUAUUGGACAAUGGGCGCAAGCCUGAUCCAGCCAUGCCGCGUGGGUGAAGAAGGCCUUCGGGUUGUAAAGCCCUUUUGUUGGGAAAGAAAAGCAGUCGGUUAAUACCCGAUUGUUCUGACGGUACCCAAAGAAUAAGCACCGGCUAACUUCGUGCCAGCAGCCGCGGUAAUACGAAGGGUGCAAGCGUUACCCGGAAUUACUGGGCGUAAAGCGUGCGUAGGUGGUUUGUUAAGUCUGAUGUGAAAGCCCUGGGCUCAACCUGGGAAUUGCAUUGGAUACUGGCAGGCUAGAGUGCGGUAGAGGGUAGUGGAAUUCCCGGU
rnacentral:rRNA from 1 species